rnacentral:rRNA from 1 species
UACGAAGGGUGCAAACGUUGCUCGGAAUUAUUGGGCGUAAAGCGCACGUAGGCGGCUUAGCAAGUCGGAUGUGAAAUCCCUCGGCUUAACCAAGGAAGUGCAUCCGAAACUGCUGAGCUUGAGUACGAAAGAGGAUCGCGGAAUUCCCGGUGUAGAGGUGAAAUUCGUAGAUAUCGGAAGGAACACCAGUGGCGAAGGCGGCUCACUGGGCCGAUACUGACGCUGAG